rnacentral:rRNA from 1 species
AGAGUUUGAUCAUGGCUCAGAACGUACGCUGGCGGCACGCCUAACACAUGCAAGUCGAACGAAGUAGCAAUACUUAGUGGCAGACGGGUGAGUAACAUGUAGGUAUCUGCCCUUUGGCCUGGAAUAACACGAGGAAACUUGUGCUAAUACCGGAUAAGUCUUUACGGAGAAAGCUUUAUGCACCAUUGGAUGAGCCUGCACUUGAUUAGUUUGUUGGUGGGGUAAUGGCCUACCAAGACUGUGAUCAAUAGCUGAUUUGAGAGGAUGAUCAGCCACAUUGGGACUGAGACACGGCCCAAACUCCUACGGGAGGCAGCAGUGGGGAAUCUUGCACAAUGGAGGAAACUCUGAUGCAGCGAUGCCGCGUGAGUGAAGAAGGCCCUUGGGUUGUAAAGCUCUUUCGUCGGGGAAGAAAAUGACUGUACCCGAAUAAGAAGGUCCGGCUAACUUCGUGCCAGCAGCCGCGGUAAUACGAAGGGACCUAGCGUAGUUCGGAAUUACUGGGCUUAAAGAGUUCGUAGGUGGUUGAAAAAGUUAGUGGUGAAAUCCCAGAGCUUAACUCUGGAACUGCCAUUAAAACUUUUCAGCUAGAGUAUGAUAGAGGAAAGCAGAAUUUCUAGUGUAGAGGUGAAAUUCGUAGAUAUUAGAAAGAAUACCAAUUGCGAAGGCAGCUUUCUGGAUCAUUACUGACACUGAGGAACGAAAGCAUGGGUAGCGAAGAGGAUUAGAUACCCUCGUAGUCCAUGCCGUAAACGAUGUGUGUUAGACGUUGGAAAUUUAUUUUCAGUGUCGCAGGGAAACCGAUAAACACACCGCCUGGGGAGUACGACCGCAAGGUUAAAACUCAAAUGAAUUGACGGGGACCCGC